GGCUCUAGAGCUGUUUUGAGUGUUGAGAGCCGGAGCUAAGGAAAACCGGCUCCCAACGGCUCCGCAUCGCUCUCGUGCUUUUUGCCACUGACAGCUACAUGCGGAUGGGGGCUGUGCUUCGUGAAGAUCUCGGCGGCAGCGGCGGGUCACAUCUCGACGCCGACAGCAACGGGGGCGGCGUGGAGAAGGGUAGCAAGAAGCCACGGACAUAGGCAGCUCCAUCCCGAUGGUGCACAAGACUGGCCUUGUACGUGAGGGAGGCAGUAGGAGUGUGGCCAUUAAGAAGACGCGCAUUCUAGCUCCCGCGCGUAGCCGUGCUGCAUGAAGGUGAUGUUGUCGCAAAGGCGCUGUCAAGGAACGCGGAGGCCUGGGACAGGGCGGCGGUCAUGGCUCAUUGCAGGCGCGUCGCGGGAUACGUGCAUAAGGUGAUCGUGGAAAUGUCUAAAGGGGAAGGAGUUGUUUUGCUAAACAGUUUGUCCUAUAAAGAAGUUACUUCCGUAGAGGAGCCGGAGAUGGAGCCUUUUUAUGAGGAGCUGGAGCUCUGCGAAAUAGACCCUUAGUUUAGGACACUGAGUCCUUGUUCGUUUGUAUCAGAUUGGAGGGUCGAAACUAUUUCUAGCCGGAUUGUUUCUCUAAUUUAUAUAAACUUUGAUUAGCUGGAACGAUUUUAGGUGUAAUCUGAUGUAAACGAACAAGGUCUAAGACAAAUCAGUGUUGGAGAUGCUUAUAGCAAGCUACAUGGUGAACUUAUCAUCGUUCA